CCUUAAACUCUUCAAGUACAGAGGUGAGUAUGAGAAAAGAAAAAAUUACCGCCCUUUCUGCUUACUAUGAUGAUGGCAAAGAACUAAAGGAUGCAAUUAAAAUUAAGAAAACUGUUCUAAGUUGUCUACCUCAGAACAAAACCACGUCAUAUGAAAAUUGUUUAGGAUGCUAUGUACACUGUCAACACACCAUUAUUAAAUCUACCUUUCCUUAAAGUGUAACAUCCUGUUUUAGGUAACACAGGACAGGCUAGUCAGGUUACCGAUCC